GUAGAAAUUUGUGAAUCCAUGAAGAUUUUCUGGUCAAUGCCUGAAGACAUUUUGUAAAGUACCCUGGGAUAGGCUAAUGUGAUAAAGGUAAAUACAAAUGUAAGGCUCAGUUCUUAGAUGCAUUCUCUUUUCCUGACACAGAAUUUAUCACCCAGGUGAACUGAUUCCUUUGAUACCACUAGCAGUACCUUGUAUUAUACCAUCAGAAGUCAAACAAGAUGUACAGGCAAAGGAGGAAACUAAUCAAAAAUGAGUAAGUAUUUCCAAGACAACUAGAAAACAAAUACACUUAGAAUCCCUAGCACCAAUUCAAAUAGCCGUAACAUUUUGGUACCACAAUCAGAAGAAAUAGUGUAAUGGUUUUCCUGCCCAUUAUAUAAUAAAUCCCCAGGUACAGAUCUUACCAGCAUUUGCUGAACAGCUCCAUAAGUCAUGCACAUGCCCGGCAGUUGCCUGUAGAACAGCGAAACGUAGGGACAGUAGAAGGUUUUUCAGGUGUGCAAUCUCCUCUGCAGUGCACAGCCAGUCCUGUUUGAGAGUGCUGACAUGGACUUCUCAGGCACAUAACCUGCAGAAGUGUUAUGAAAGGGAAGAAUCAGAGCACUGAAGUCACAUUGGCAAUCCUUAAUUCUAGUACUGGUGUUCUCUCUGAAGAAUAUUUAAUGUUUUCCAAGCAUGUUCCAUAAAAGCAGUCAAUCAAUACAUUUCCCAACAGCACAGUGAGAAAACUCCUGGCCAGAGAUACUGCACAAAUCCUUCCCUAUAUAGGAAGCACUGCAGUUAGGGUCUGUCUCUAGAGCUCUGACAGAAUUGUACAGGGUUCAUUCUACUCAGUGCAGAGGAAGAAAGCACGGCUUAGUUUACGGAACCCAAACCGAGGCCAGGCUAUUACGCUGUGUUAUCCAGCCAAGUGAGCAGCAAUUUUCUAAGGCUGCUUCAAACAAACAACGACACCAAACAAGUCACCACCAGCAGCCCCGAAAGGAGAGCAAAAAUCACAAACCUUUCCUCAGUGAUACAAACGUGAGCAAUACUUUCUAUCUUGUAAAUAUAACAUCGGCCACAAGAGGGGAGCAGAGCCCCGUAAUGCACAGCUCCCAAAAAGCUGAGGUAGGUCUGAUGCGCUCUGCUAUGCCUAGAGUAACACACAAGCAUCAGAUCCUACGGCUGUUCAAAAUGACUUGGUACAGCCUUGCUCUGGAGGCAGUAAGUUGGCCAACAACAAACCCAAACUUGCUGCUGAAAAGCAAGAAAGCAACUCUGUGGCAACAAAGUGCUUUUAAAUCAGCUUCCUAACUGAAGAGAAGAACGCUCUCAGCCCGUGGCGGCCCGUACGGCGGCUGUCACCGGGAAGAGCCGCGAGAUGCCCGCGCCCCGCAGUGCCCGGCCCGCUCAGCGCGGAGC
ensembl:lncRNA